rnacentral:rRNA from 1 species
GCCUACUGAGCCCUUAGCCAGCGACUCUAAAGAAAUCAGCUAUAGUCGCCCCUUUGGGGGUUGGCGACGCUAUCAAUCUGUGUCUGGAAGUGCUCCCUACUAUGGGAGUACCACCAGCAGCUCGUUGCAUUCGAGUUCACAGGUCAAACGAUAGCGGCCACUUUGGUGGUUGAGAUAUGAUCGGCCUCCAGCUGUCACCUAGCUGGGGAGAUUUGCGGAACCUGCGGAAGGAUCAUUAA